GCAACAGCCCGUGUUUGGAGCACAUCCUGCUGUCAAGGAUGUAGUUACCGCAUGUGUGUGCAUGUGCGUUUGUCUGUGAAUGUCACUGAUAUGACUGCCAGCCACUUCCCCUCUCAACAUGCCCGCAACGAUGCACCUCACUCUGCUGGUGUCCCUGUUAACAGCGACAGUCAUCAGUGAAACCACCACUUCCUCCAGCUCAUCCACUGCACAAACAACCACUAACAAACCAUACUCACAAACAACAAUACUCCAGACUACCACUGAAAGAACAACACAUCCAACCACAGCUGAAACGACAACACAUCCAACUACAGCUGAAACGACAACACAUCCAACUACAGCUGAAACGACAACACAUCCAACUACAGCUGAAACGACAGUGCAGUCCACGACCAUCAUCACUUCGGCUUCACCAAAAACGCAGCAGACAGACGACACCACCCCCAGCCCACCUCCUCAAACCACAGCAAACAACCAGACAUCAAAUGAGACAGCUUUGCCAACUGAAACAACGCUCCCAUCUGCAUCAGCAUCACCAAACAUCACUGCAACCACCACUGUGAACACAACCGACACAGGUUUUUCACCCGACUGGGAAAAAGAUGACCUGGCGUCAAACCCCGGCCUAGUCGCUAUCAUUUGCAUCUUCUGUAUCGUCCUCGCCCUCGUUCUCGUGGUACUCACAGUGAAAUGUAUCCGAUCGCCGAGAUCCAAUUUUGAGAGGCUCGAAGAUAUGCCGAUGGGCAAAGUGAAUGAGGAGUCUCCGUUCGCCCACUACUCGAAAUGACAGAAUGCCCUUGUGGACGCCGAAGGCCCGGGACGGGUCCAACCUGCCGAACGACUCUGACAUCAUCAGGCUCGGCUUUACGUAGCACUUUAUUCAAUGCCAGUGAAAUAUUUUGGCCUCAUUCAUUUUGGUUUUAAUUAAGUGUAAUCAGCUAACUACAACUGUCGCUUCCUCCAUAGUAAAAUCUGAAAAUCAGCCUGAAAGGUAAACCUUCAUACAUAACGCUUGCUAAACUGGUGACAUGUAUAAUCUUGUAAGCACUACAACUCAGAUUUACACUGGUGAUUUAAUAAGAGUGCAGAUUUCGAUUUUACAUAACGCUUUAACAAAGUCAUAACUGGAAUGUACAAGUGUACAAAUGUGAUCUUAUCUGGAGUGGCAUAUAUGAUGUAUGAAUUGUGGGGUCUGAGGUCUUCUGUGCAAGCAAAGCUCAGACGCAAAAAGUCACAGUGCUGAGCACAUGUUUUAGACCACCGGCCAGUGUAAGGUUUAUGCCAUAGCUGUUAUAAAUUAACAAUUCUGGUACUUACCAAAAUCAUUUUUUAAUGAUUCUGUAAUAGUUAAACCACCAGUGUGCUCUUAAAUUAAGAUCAUAUUUUUAAUGCUAAAAUAUAAAUAUUGUUGUUAUAAAAAUAGAAUAAAAAGAGUAAAGGCAUCAUUAGUUUAUGAUUAAAUUAACUUUGAUUAAAACCUACUUACUUGCAUUCUUGAACAGAACAAUUACUGCUUGAACGUCAUGCUUGAUUAAUUUCUGACUUCCUACAGACAUCCUCAGUGUUUUAAACUUGUUUUAAAUGAGCUUUUUGGCACAGUUCAAAAAUAUUUUUCUUUUGUUUUUCUAAUAGCAGGUAGUCUAAUAAAUGUGUUAUGCACUGGAAAUAUCAGAAAAACUGUGGGGCCACUGACAGAAUCUUUAUGGUUAAAACACUAAACAAUAGGCUCAUGUUCUUAUUACUGAUAGAAAAAAUACUUGUGUAUUUGUAUGCACUAAAACAGGUACCGCUAAUUAUUUCUAUGUUCACUCUAAAAUUAAUAUCAGGCCAUUCACAUUAGUCACAUCAGAAAUGUUUCCAGGUUCAGGAAAAUCUCGGGACUCAUUUCCAACAAAAACACGUGCAAUUCUACUUUGUCUUGCUAAUCUUGAUGAAUGUAAACAGAUUUGCUUAUGCUUAUAAACAGAUUCAAAUAUAGAAUUGGAUCCUUUCUGCUUUAAAUGCCUUAAUAAUUAAUAUCCCUGAGCUAGCCUGCACAAAAAUGAUAAAAGUCAUAUUUCUAGACAUUUUAAUUGUGGCUCAAAGUAACUUUUUUCAUGAAAUGCUGUCACACUGAGUCUGUGUGGCAAAUCUGCUAUCCUACACUCAAUUUUGCAGUGACUUGAAUGCUUUCCUGCCAUUUCAACAAAAUGAUUUAAUAAGUCAGUGUUUUGUAAAUCGGGACGAUGACAUGCUGUGUACCAACUACAUAAUUGUGAUGUUUUAAUGAAAAUAAAAACCUUGAUGUGGUGUUUUUCACUUUCCUGUAAUGUGUCCCUUGUUGCUACCUCAGGUUAAGAUUACGUAAACCUUUUACCCAGCCAGUUAUCUGGAAAACCCCACCAGCAACUUCCUUUAACCUACGUCUUCAGCUAUGUACCAACAUGCCAGAGCUCCUCAGACACAUGACUCACACUCCAAAGAUAAAGAGAAACAUCUCCAGGGCUCGAAGGUGAGGAUUACCCAAAAAGGCCAUGACUAUUUAAGAGGACUGGCGAUUGAGGCUAAACCAAAUGAGCGUCUGGAUAAGAAUGUGACUGGGACCUCAUUACCAAGACAUCCUGCCAAUGAAAAUAUAAAUGGGCUACAUGAAAGUGUGACCACUCAAGCGGUUUUGUUUGUAUUAGAACUGUAAAUGAU
ensembl:lncRNA